rnacentral:rRNA from 1 species
UACGUAGGGGGCAAGCGUUGUCCGGAUUUAUUGGGCGUAAAGAGCGUGUAGGCGGCUUUACAGGUCCGUUGUGAAAACUCGAGGCUCAACCUCGAGACGCCGGUGGAAACCGUAAAGCUAGAGUCCGGAAGAGGAGAGUGGAAUUCCUGGUGUAGCGGUGAAAUGCGCAGAUAUCAGGAGGAACACCCGUGGCGAAAGCGGCUCUCUGGGACGGUACUGACGCUGAGACGCGAAAGCGUGGGGAGCAAAACGG